rfam:Triticum aestivum genome assembly, contig: Triticum_aestivum_CS42_TGACv1_scaffold_158540_2DL
AAAAUACUCCCUCCGUCCGGAAAUACUCGUCGAAGGAAUGGAUGUACCUAGAUGUAUUUUAGUUCUAGAUAUAUUCAUUUUUAUGCAUUUCUCCGACAAGUAUUUCCGUACGGAGGGAGUAGUAU